CGCACACAUGUGAAUGCACGCACAUGCACGUACACACACAUGCACGCAUACACACAGAUAUGUUCACACACACAGUCCCCAGUUCAGACCAUGUUUUGCUCUCAUUCCUUGCCCACCUCCUGUCCUUGCCUCCUCUCCUUUGGCAGACACAAAGCCAUAGGAGUUUAACGAUGAGCGGGAAGACAGAGCCAGAGGGAAGGACCGUGGACCUGUGUUCACAGACUGCAAGGGUGGUGAGCUGCCAGGACUCAAUUCCUAUCAGGUUCAGUUUCUCUGCAGUCUUUCCUUCCUCCCUCCCGCACUUCCCUCCGCACACCCACAUGUUGGCACUGACGUCCAUAGCUUCGCCUGUUAGCGUGUUCUCAUGUAGGUGCCCUGGGGUUCGGAUGACUUUUUUCCUAAUUACAAGAGCAACACAUGUUCAUAGUUACACAAAAGUCAAAUAUUGCAGAAGUGCACGUCAUUUGAAAACAUGUCACCUCACCCUGCAAAAGGCUCCACAAACCUUCCUUUGAAGCCAGUGUAAAAGGCAAAGUCCUUAACUGGCCCACUGACCUACUGACCCCUGACCUCUCCCACCCUCCUUAAUACACUGCUGUGUCCCUGUCCAGCCUGUCUGUGCUCCGGGGCCUUGUCACUAGCUAGUCUCCUCUUGGGAACUCUCCUGGAUAUCUGCAUGGCUUCUUUCUUAGUCAGCCUAGGUGACCUAAACUACAGGAAUUUAUUUUCUCAGUAUCCUGGAAGCCGAGAAGUAUGAGGUCAGUGUUCUGGCAAGUUUGAUUUCUGCCAAGGGCUACUGGCCUGGCCUAGCCUGGUCUUCCCUGGCCUGGCCUAGCUUAGCCUGGUCUGUCCUGUCCUGGCCUGUCCUGGCCUGGCCUGGCCUGGCUAGGUCUGUCCUGGCCUGUUCUGGCCUGCAGUCAGUCGUCUUAUAUCUUUUCCUAACUGUGCUCUUUGGAGUGAAUGGGUAAAAGACUGCUAUAAGGUUGUCUUUCUUUUCUUUUUUAAAUGUUUAUUUUAUCACAUGGAUAUUUUGUUUGCAUAUCACAUACGUGCCUGCCAGAAGAAGGUUUUCAAAACCCCUGGAGCUGGAGUUACAGGUGAGCCAUCAUGUAGGUGCUGGGAAUUGAACCUGGGUCCUCUGCAAGAACAGCAAGUGUUCCUAAGGCCUGAAUCAUCUUUCCAGCCCCCAUGGUUUUUCUUUUAAGUACUAAUUCCCACAGGCCAAGGGAAUCCUCUUUCCUUAUCACCAUAUUUAGCCCUAAGUACUUCAUUAGAGGACCCACUUUGCAACAGAGCAACGAAGUGGGUUAGGUUUCAAGACAUCCGUCCUUGUCAGUUCCCUUCGAGUUGUUUGAAAAUCAUUUCAUCAAGUUGGCCUGAUUCUCAGGAGAAGGGUGGGGGUUGGGGUAAGAGGAGGAAGAAGAGAAGGAGGAGGAGUCUCAGACCAUCCUUUACUAUAUAGCUUGGCCUGGUCUCCAUGAAACUCUGUCUCCAAAAAGAAAGAAAGCAUUUUCUCAAAGAAGCUUUCUGUUUUCUGGUCCUCUGUUCAAAACACUGAUAUUUCUCACAAUGCUCUGGGCCAAUUAGGGUCAUUGGGAUCUUUUGGAAAUUAGACUAGGUCUUUGUUUGCAUGUAUGUACCUUUCACAACUACUGUUAGAAGGCCUCACUUUGAAAAGUUAUCUCUUUGCAGAGGUCAACCCAUGCCUUUGGCUCAGGACAGUAACGGACAAGUAUUACAACACAAAUUUGCAAACUUUCUUAAAACACUUGGGAAUUUUUUUCUAAGUGGAUUUUGUGGUUCUAGAGUAUGACUUCUAUAAAUGACAACGUUAUACUACAAUAUCACACAAAACAAACAUACGUGUGCUCUCAAAACUCAUGGACCAAAGUUGUUCAUGCCUUUGACACAUGCAACCACAUGCAUACAGGCAUGUACACUCGUGAAUAAAUAGGUAUAAGAAGUGUCAAAUAAAACAAAAGUGUAGCCUCUUUCUUACUUUCCUAUGUAUUUUUAUCCUUGGCUAAGAAACUGUAAACUGCAUGCAAGUAGAGCUAUCUGGUUUUGUAUUCACUGAUUUUUCUUCAUUGUUUAUAAAGGAAACUGGCUUAUGAAUAUGCUAAAUGACUGAAUGCAUUAAUAUUAAUUUGAAAACAUCUUUCCAGAACACUUCUCUGUGAGUCACCCUGUAACUUUAGGAAUGCUUUCACUGUUAAAAAUGAGACCCGAAGAAGGUCUCAUCUUAUUUCAGGACAACUUCACACAGAUGGCUGGAAAACUAUCAUUGCCUGGACGUUGGGAAUGGGUAAGCAAGGCCUCUCUCUACAGGGCGUGCGAUGGCCAAAACACGGGCUGGAACUGUGGCUCAGGUGGUAGAGCAUUGCCUAACAAUGCAGAAAGCCCUGGGUGAUGCCCAGCACCACGUUAACCAGGUACUAUAGCCGUGACCCAAAACUCAGUCAUGGAGGAGAGAGAAUCAGAAGGUUCAAGGUCAUCCUGGGUUACAUAAUGAGCUUGAGGCAAACCUGAGCUACAUGGACACCACCUCAAAAGAAGCAAGCUGACUUUCCUGCCCAGACGUUCUGUCAGCCACAGAGAAGGCCCCUAGGUCACAUGCCUUGCUGUGCCUGGGCAGCUAUAUAAUCCAUCAAGUUCACCAACGACUUUAUUCCCUCUGGUAUUUCCUGGUAGGAGCAGAAAUGUGAAGGUCUUUUAGAGCUGGAGCCAAAAGACGCUGUAAAGGGUGACGGUGUUGAGUCUUUAAGGACCUUGUUCCUGGCUGGCACUGCACUGUUUGUGUCAAGUUGGAGCUUAAAGCCACCUGUCUGCUGAGGUCAGAGGACAAUGUCAGCUUUGCCCAGCACCUCCCUCUCCAGAGUGCUGGCUUAACGAGCCACACUUAAUAAUAGUAAAGGAAAGAAAUUCCAGGCAUGAGAAAGCACUCAAGUGAGCACAUUCAAAACACGCUCUGUUUUGCAGACCAGAGAGGAACGUCUGUGCUGCCUAAGAAAAACCCUUUGAGGAGCUGAGGGAGCAGCGCUUUGGUAAAGUGCUUGCCCACCACGCCUGAAGUCCUGCGUGAGGGAGCACAAGCCUGUAAUCCCAGCUCUUGUAAAACGAAGGCAGGAGGAUCAGAAGUUCAAGGCCACCUUCCACUAUAUAUGGAGUCCACGGACAGCCUGGGGACCCUGCCUCCAAAACAGAACUACUUGGCUAGUUAAUUUUAAAAUGAAAACCCUUUGAGACAAAUUGUACAGUACUGAUGCAGAAUAGGUCUUUAAAAAGUUAUUUUCCUUCUUUCUCUCUCUUCCUUCCUUCCUUCCUUCCUUCCUUCCUCCCUCCCUCCCUCCCUCCCUCCCUCCCUCCCUCCCUCCCUCCCUCCCUCCCUCCCUCUCUCUCUCUCUCUCUCUCUCUCUCUCUCUCUCUCUUUCUUUCUUUCUUUCUUUCUUUCUUUCUUUCUGUUUAAAUGUAAAGUUUUAGUAUUUGGGGGGGUGUGUUUAAUCAGAGGUUGGCACUGGGUAUGUUCCUCAAUUGCCACUUUAGUUUUUUAAGCAGGUCUCUUUCUGAACCAAUUCAGCUAGACUAAAUGGUCAGCAGGCCCUAGUGACCUGUGUCCACGUCCUCAGUGCUGGGUUACAGCCAUACUGCACACCUGGCUUUUGACCUGGGUACUGGAACCAGAAGCCGGUUCUCAUGCCUUGCAUCAAGCACUUUAUUGACUAGGGCAUCUUCCCAGACUUUAUUUCUAAACUCUAAAUAUGAUGUUUUGUCCUUAAUUACUCUACCCUUUUGUUAUCCUUUUGGAAGGUUGCAUCAUUGGUGGAAAGUGCCCUUGCUGGAAAGUGCCCUUGCCGGCAGAGCCAUCUCACUGGCCAGAGUCUGAUGUUCUUCUGUUUUUCCUGAGAGUCGCCCUCUCUUGGAUUCCUGUGAGUCACUGUCCCCUGUGAAGCGGCUUGAGAAGAAUGCCUGGCAUCAUUUGUGUGCUCUAACUCCAACUGGAGAUGUUGACUGUGCUAUCGUCCCAGCCGGCUUUUCCUCUCAGUGUUGUUUUUCCUUGAAGAAGUUUCUUUGUUACUAUUCAGCUUAAGUGAAGUCAUCACUGAAGGAAAGAGCAGAAGGAAUUCGGAAUAGUUUUAAUAAACUUCUGAACCCAGC